rnacentral:misc_RNA from 1 species
AUAUAUUUUUGGCUGGGUUUGUGCCUACAGAAAAUCUACGUUUUCGUGACGAGUCUCUUACUUUUAAGGUUGCUGAGACCCCACAAGAGGCUGCUGAGGAAAUUGAAUCAUAUGCACGUUACAGAUAUCCUACCAUGACUAAGACUCAAGGUAAUUUCAAGCUUAAGGUUUCUGAGGGUGAAUUUACUGAUUCACAGAUUGUUGUGAUGCUUGGUGAGAAUGGGACUGGGAAGACAACCUUCAUUCGUAUGCUGGCUGGUCUAUUAAAGCCUGACGUGGUGGAAGGAUCUGAUAUUGAGAUGCCAGAGUUCAAUGUUUCAUACAAGCCCCAGAAAAUUAGUCCAAAAUUUCAAUCCACUGUGAGACAUUUGCUACAUCAAAAAAUACGUGAUUCUUAUCAACACCCCCAGUUUUGUUCAGAUGUGAUGAAGCCUCUCCAAAUUGAGCAAUUGAUGGACCAAGAAGUUGUGAAUCUUUCUGGUGGUGAGUUGCAAAGAGUUGCCUUAGCCCUGUGCCUUGGAAAGCCCGCUGAUAUAUAUCUGAUCGAUGAGCCAAGUGCCUAUCUUGAUUCUGAGCAGCGUAUUGUAGCUUCUAAAGUCAUCAAGAGAUUCAUUCUUCACGCGAAGAAGACUGCAUUUGUUGUAGAGCAUGACUUCAUAAUGGCAACUUACCUGGCAGAUAGAGUCAUUGUAUAUGAGGGGACGCCUUCCAUAGAUUGUGUUGCAAAUGCACCUCAAUCACUGUUGACUGGAAUGAACUUAUUUUUAUCACAUCUGAACAUUACGUUUCGAAGGGACCCAACUAAUUACCGUCCAAGGAUCAACAAACUAGAAUCAACCAAGGAUAGGGAGCAGAAGUCAGCUGGAUCUUACUAUUAUUUGGAUGAUUAACCAGAACAGGUUGUGCAUCCAUGAUCCUUGCUUACCUCUUUUAAUUGGCACCUUGAUGUUAACAGAAGCUCCACUCUUCCUUAGGUGCUAAUUGAUGAUCACGAGCAGCCUCUGGGCAUUUUUAUACCAUAGACGUCUGACGAGGUUGACGUCUGAGCACACAGAUGAUUGGAAUAUCGCCUUUUGUUUUCGUCGUUGAUUUAGUAAUUAUUACUGGUAUUAUGUACUCAUAAAUGUAGUUUUAUUCACCAAUUUUGACAGCAGAUGGAGUAGUUGAUUUCCAUUUUGUAUGUUUUAUCUACUGGCACAUGAAUGAGGUGCUUGAUUGGGUUGAUGAAAAACUGGAUUGGCAUUUAUGCUGUAAGCCACUGUUUAUUUUUUAAUCUCUCAUUGGGCUAAGUUAUUCAAG